UAAAAAUGUGACAGUGAGAAAAUUCAGAUGGAACACAUCAAACAUGUUUUUCAGGAACAAUUGUCAACUCACAAUGAGUGAAAUGAAUGAAACACAUCCUAAUUAUUUGAUUUGAAAAUUAUUUGAAACUCCAGGCUUUAUUAAGAUAUUAUUAAUUAAUACUUUUUUUGUUAUUUUGAUAUUUUUCGGACUUUAGGCUUUUCCUGUUAACUUGAAUUGUAUUUCCUAUUUUAUUUUGAAAUGUCAGAUUCGUGUGAUUUCCUUGUCUAGUUUACAUCCUGUGCCGUGAGUUAGUUGGUCGUUUUCGUUGACCUGACGUGUUUCACCUGUGUUUGAUUAGUAUGAACUCUCACCACUUGUUUUUAGUUUGUAUUAAUUUGUAUGAACGUAUUUUUUUCAGUAAUAUUUGUUGUUUUGCUCUGUUCUUGCGUAUGUUUAGACACGUUUUCCCCGAUUUUCUCCGACUUUAUUUUCGGCUAUUGCGCAUGCGUUAAUGUAAAUGUAAUGAGUUUGUGUGAGGCAUUUAAAUCCACUAUUUUCAUGACUCCAGCCUUCGAGAGGAUCCACAUUUGUCACCAUUUUGCUGCUGUGUUAAUUCUAAAGCAGAAAUGAGUGACCACAGGCAGAGGUCACCUACCCUGGAUGAGGUCAAGUUAAGGUCGCCCCAGAUGACGAAUCCAGCAGCACCGAGAGCAGCACUUUCCCCAAUGGUGUGGACCAGGUCUUUCUGCAGGAAACAAACAGCAGGAUAUAAACACUGAGCUCUUCAGAGAUGCCAGCAGAGAAAGAAACAUUUGCCCGUGUUUGAUGUUUGGGAAUCGAGCCGAACCCCCGAUGACAGACAGAAGGCCACGAGCCAGAAGAACACAUUCUUUCACAUGUACCAUCUGCUGUAUAAAUAUGGUUUAACACCAUCACAAAGGCACAUCAAUCCUUAUAAUGUCAAGCCCUUAUUCUGGUGGUGUGGGUGCUGCAUGUAUAUCCCCUGAUAGCAGGAAGAGCACCAUUCAACUGUGUGAUAUUUUUGCAGCUCUAGUUGUUUAGUUGUUCUGCAAAAUAAAAUUAAAUAGGUUUUAAUUUUCAGUCAUCAAACUGAGGAAAAAAACAGAGUUACAUAACUGCUGAAAUUUGCUGUGGUUAACUAAUGGUGUAUCAAGUGAAAGCUGCAUGACCAAGCACAUUGCAAGUGUCCACACAGACCCUAAUGGCCAUGGAUAGAAGACUUUAUCCAAAUUUCGUUUUGUAAACACUGACGGCUUCUGUGAUGCUUAGGAUGAAAACACUUUUUUUAACAACUCUGUAACAUGACUCUGCAUCAGGACUUUCCAUGAAUCGCACACAAAACUGGUUGCACCCAUGUUAACCAGACCAAAAAAUGUUGCUUGACAAAUGUUCCUAGUGCUGACCCAGUGUGGUUCAGAUCCAUGGCGCUCACAUGAGAGCUCACCAAACACACGGAGGGAAGGAACUGCCAGGACUGAAAUCUUUCCAGUUGGCUGAGCCACAAGGACUCUAUCACCUGGUGAUCACCACAAUCACUCUGUUUGAGGUGAUCUGUCAGAUGAGGUAAGCAGAUGGAAUCAUUUUCAAGAAAGAGAAGAGACAAAACCAUAGAAGUGAAAGAAGGAAACCCCUUUUUGUUAUCACAGACAAAUUCAGUUCCAGAGAAUCUUCAAAUCUUCUAGCCUCCAGCAAGCAUCAAAAGCACCAAGCUUUUUUUUGUUGUAACACAAAUAUACACAUGAUUAAAUCUUUCUCAUCCUUGCAUUCCACUCCGUCAGAGGGAGGAGCAAAGGUUGAUCGGUUUUGAGAUAAAGUCCGAGAGGCAAGGUUGAGAUGGUUUAGACAUCAAGGCUGAAGAAAAAUGGUGAAAACAAUUGACAGAGGAUGUAAGAGAUGGAGCUGCCAAGCAAGAGGAAAUGAUGAAUACCACAGAGAGGAUCUGUGGUGGUGAGGAAAGAGGACAUUGAGAUGGUUGGUUUAACAGUGGAGGAGGCAGGGGUGAGAGUGAGAUGGAGGAAGAAGACGAUCCACUGUGGUGACCACUGAAGUAAACAAGAUGAAA